CACUUGUUUGGGAAAACUACUGAGAGGUAUUUCAUGUAGUGGAAAUAUACACUGUAAUCUGUUCUACAACAAGCGAUGACGAAGAACACACCUAUCUCACAUUGAUCGCAGGGGAAUUCCCGUGACGAGUUCCGGUUUGUGAACGACAUAAAUAUGAAUCCUUUUAUUUACAUAUUUAUAAUUUAGAUUAACUUCUCUUUGACAGAAUGACUGUAAAGUGCAGACUUCUUCCUAUGUGUGUUUUCUCUAUCUACAUAGGUUUGCUCAGUGUUAAUGCUGUUAUAGGAACUGUUGUGAAUUCUACUGGGUUAACAAACAGUACCACCAACAAUGGAACUACCCCAGCUGUCAUCAACGACGGCGGCAACGAUGAUGGGUCUCCGUCCACGGGCCUGACGGUACUGUACGUGUUUCUGGGGAUUUUUGGGGGUUUCUUCGUACUGAUAUUCAUGUGCAUUUGCUGCACUCUUCUGUGUAAACAGUGUGGACAUUGUGAAGACGCGGAAGUCAACAUGACAUGUGAGUGCUGCGGUGCCACGGUUUGGCAGAAGUCAUAUUAAUUAACAACCGCCAGUGUGUGACAAAAGUCGUAUCAACCUACCCCAGUGUGUGACAAAAGUCAUAUCAACAUACAUCAGUGUGUGAUAAAAGCCAUAUUAACGUACGCCAAUGUGCGAAAAGUCGUAUUAUAUUACAUGAGUGAAAUUAUCAAUUUAUUAUACUACACUUGUAUGAAUGAAGGUAUUAUCAUAAUAGAGUUCAUUAGUGUGCAACAGACGCGGAAGUCAUAUUAGAUGACACCGGUAAAGAAACAAUCCCUAGUACUUUCCUUCCUAUUCACAUUGUAGUAGAACUCUCUCAAGUAGGUGUAGAUCAUUUGGCAGUGCACCAUAUUCAUCAAAGGAAAUGAUAGCACUUGAACUAUACUAUAAAACUGGACAAUGAAUAAGCGUUACAAUGACACCAACUUAACAUAAAUCAAAAUUAAAUCUACGAACGAGAGCCCAUGGGCCACAACGCUAACAUCAAUCACCAUUGGCCCUGUUAUACAUGGGAAGAAGAUUUUUAUAAAGAUAUUUACAUUCUUUAACCCCAGUAGAAAUGUUGGUCCAGUGGUUUUUGAGAUCUUUAUAUGUUACAUUCUACAUAUAUAUAGUUUUUAUUACUUUCAUCUUGAUUUAUUUACCUGGUAAAUACUUUUAUUCCUCUGCGCGUUUGUUAAAGGAUAUGAGAGCGAAUGUUUACUGCACUAAUUACGAUGUAAUAAUUACACGUUACUAUUUACGAUAGUUUGUAAUGGGACUGUAUACGACACUGAUUACGAAAGUAUAUACGAGUAUUUACAACACUAUUUACGACAUUGAACGUGAGUGCUUACAACACUAUUUACGACAUUGCAUGUGCGUGUUUAUGACAUUUUAAGUGAACGUUUACGACACUAUUUACGACAUUCCAUGUGAGUAUUUACGACAUUUGAUGUGAAAAUUUACGACACUAAUUACGACAUUACAGGCGAGUGUUUACGACAAUUUAAGUGACAGUUUAUGAUACUGAUUACGACUUUAACUGUGAUUAUUGUAGACAUCUUUUUAAUUAAAAUUCCAUCCGUCUUUUUGAUGCCUCAUCAUACGCUACAGGGGUCUUACUUACGAAUACGUCAUCAGAACACUUCAACCACUUAACAUGCAAUCAGGAAGAACGAUAUAGGGGUGAAGGAGAGGAGUGUAGUUUACUGCCUAUUUUAUGGAAACAAAGAAAGUAUCGAUUUCACAAUAGUAAGAUUAUCUUCACUAAAUAUCUCUCAAAAGUUCAAGAGCUUCAACUCAAGCAUGCAUCUAAUGACUCCGACAAACAUACUCUUUCUCUGUAAAUGCUAUUAGAAGAACAUCCUAGUGCAUCCCCAUUUUCAGAAAAUACUACUAUUCAAGAAACCAUGUACGGUUUUAAAAGUACAUAUUACAAAUUUCCAAAUCCGUAAUUUGUGUUAUAUAUCACAGCAAUUAGAAUUGAGAACUUGUAUAUUGUAAACUCUUGUGUUCGAAUGAAGGGAAAGGGUAUUUAUUUCUCUGUCAUUUAUGUAUUUAUAGAACAAAGUUUUUGAGGUAUCUAAUUCUCUUUGAUUUAUGCAUUUAUAGAACAAAGUUUUUGAGGUAUCUAAUUCACUGUCAUUUAUGUAUUUAUAGAACAACGUUUUUGAGGUAUCUAAUUCUCUGUCAUUUAUGUAUUUAUAGAACAAAGUUUUUGGGGUAUCUAAUUCUCUUUCAUUUAUGUAUUUAUAGAACAAAGUUUUUGAGGUAUCUAAUUCUCUGUCAUUUAUGUAUUUAUAGAACAAAGUUUUUGAGGUAUCUAAUUCUCUUUCAUUUAUGUAUUUAUAGAACAAAGUUUUUGAGGUAUCUAAUUCUCUGUCAUUUAUGUAUUUAUAGAACAAAGUUUUUGAGGUAUCUAAUUCUCUGUCAUUUAUGUAUUUAUGAAAUAAAUUUUUCAAAUUCA